rnacentral:rRNA from 1 species
GUUGACCUCGGAUCAGGUAGGGAUACCCGCUGAACUUAAGCAUAUCAAUAGGCCCGGAGGGAA